rnacentral:rRNA from 1 species
UACGUAGGUGGCAAGCGUUGUCCGGAUUUACUGGGCGUAAAGGGAGCGUAGGUGGAUAUUUAAGUGGGAUGUGAAAUACUCGGGCUUAACCUGAGUGCUGCAUUCCAAACUGGAUAUCUAGAGUGCAGGAGAGGAAAGUAGAAUUCCUAGUGUAGCGGUGAAAUGCGUAGAGAUUAGGAAGAAUACCAGUGGCGAAGGCGACUUUCUGGACUGUAACUGACACUGAGGCUCGAAAGCGUGGGGAGCAACAGG